AGUGAACGCUGGCGGCGUGCCUAAUACAUGCAAGUCGAACGGAGUGGCGAACGGUUGAGUAAUAUAUAGUUAAUCUGCCCCUUGCUGGAGGACACCAGUUAGAACUGCCUGCUAAUACUCCAUAGCAAGGGAUGAUACUAUAUCGUAUCAGCUAGUCGGUGGGGUAAUGGCCUACCGAGGCUAUGACGCGUAACUGGUCUGAGGGGAUACUCAGGCGAAUUGGAACUGAGACACGAGUCAAGAACCUACGGGAGUCGGCAGGAGGGGAUAUGGGGCAAUGGGGGAGACCGAGGCGGAGCAACGGCGCGUGGAGGAUGACACUUUGAGGAGCGUAAGCUCCUUUUGUUAGGAAAGCGGUACCUAACGAAUAAGCACCGGCUAACUCCGUGCCAGCCGCCGCGGUAAUUC
rnacentral:rRNA from 1 species